rnacentral:rRNA from 2 species
AAGGCAGCAGGCACGCAAAUUACCCACUCCCGGCACGGGGAGGUAGUGACAAAAAAUAACGAUACGGGACUCAUCCGAGGCCCCGUAAUCGGAAUGCGUACACUUUAAAUCCUUUAACAAGGAUCCAAUGGAGGGCAAGUCUGGUGCCAGCAGCCGCGGUAAUUCCAGCUCCAUUAGCGUAUAUUAAAGUUGUUGCGGUUAAAAAGCUCGUAGUUGGUUCUGUGUCCCACGCUGUCGGUUCACCGCCUGUCGGUGCAACUGGCAUGCCGUGGGAUGUCCUGUCGGUGGCGGCCAUGACCCACGGCGGGUGUAGGGCAACCGAAGCUCGCCGCUGCGCGUCAGGUCGCCGAUUCAAUCCUGCCGCGGUGCUCUUCAUUGAGUGUCGAGGUAGGCCGACACGUUUACUUUGAACAAAUUAGAGUGCUUAAAGCAGGCUAAUAAUGCCUGGAUAUUUUUUGCAUGGAAUAAUGGAAUAGGACCUCGGUUCUAUUUUGUUGGUUUCCGGAACCCGAGGUAAUGAUCAAUAUGGACAGGCGGGGGCAUUCGUAUUGCGACGUUAGAGGUGAAAUUCUUGGAUCGUCGCAAGACGGACUAGAGCGAAAGCAUUUGCCAAGUAUGUCUUAGUUGAUCAAGAACGAAAGUUAGAGGUUCGAAGGCGAUCAGAUACCGCCCUAGUUCUAACCAUAAACGAUGCCAGCCAGCGAUCCGCCGAUGUUCCUCCGAUGACUCGG